rnacentral:rRNA from 1 species
UACGUAGGGGGCGAGCGUUGUCCGGAUUUAUUGGGCGUAAAGAGCGUGUAGGCGGCUUGACAGGUCUGCUGUGAAAACUCGAGGCUCAACCUCGAGAUGUCGGCGGAAACCGUCUGGCUAGAGUCCGGAAGAGGAGAGUGGAAUUCCUGGUGUAGCGGUGAAAUGCGCAGAUAUCAGGAAGAACACCUAUGGCGAAGGCAGCUCUCUGGGACGGUACUGACGCUGAGACGCGAAAGCGUGGGGAGCGAACAGG